rnacentral:lncRNA from 1 species
GAGAAUGAGAGCAGCAAGGUGAUAGCACCAGUGUGCAGUAAAGAGAAAAUGGCAGUGUGCAGCAAAGAGAGCAGCAGGCAAACCCAAGAAAAUAAUGCAACAGAAACUUGGUAGUGCAGAAGUAAACAACCAAGAUUACUCAAUCUUGGCUUUCAACCGAUUGAGUGAGAGAAUUUGUAGAAAAGAAAAAAAACAGUAAAGAGAUAGAGAGCACUGAGUGUUAUUGAAAGAAAGUUCAGAGAGAUUGUAAUGUCUUAGUAUGAGAGAUAUGCAAUGUGUUGGUUGUCUUUCAAUGAGAAUGGGGGGAGGGUACUUAUAGUACUAAAACGAGGGAACAAACAAGGCACCAAACUAUAAUUAAGGAACGAGCAUCAAUCAUAACCCCAUCAAUGUAAGGAUUUCCCUUUAAUUAAGGUGUCCAAGACAAACGGUAACAAUCAGUGGAGCUAAAAAAAAGGAAAAGAAUCAAUC